rnacentral:piRNA from 1 species
UCAGAAAAGAAAUUGAGGAUGAGCCAAUA